rnacentral:rRNA from 1 species
AUUAUACUGCGAAACUGCGAAUGGCUCAUUAUAUAAGUUAUCGUUUAUUUGAUAGCACGUUCUUACUUGGAUAACCGUGGUAAUUCUAGAGCUAAUACAUGCUGAAAAUCCCGACUUCGGAAGGGAUGUAUUUAUUAGAUUAAAAACCAAUGCCCUCUGGGCUUGCUGGUGAUUCAUGAUAACUGCGCGAAUCGCACGGCCUUGCGCCGGCGAUGGUUCAUUCAAAUCUCUUCCCUAUCAACUUUCGAUGCGAUGAUCUGGUCAUCGCAUGGUUACAACGGGUAACGGAGGGUUAGGGCUUGACCCCGGAGAAGGAGCCUGAGAGACGGCUACUACAUCCAAGGAAGGCAGCAGGCGCGCAAAUUACCCAAUCCCGACACGGGGAGGUAGUGACAAUAAAUACUGAUACAGGGCUCUUUUGGGUCUUGUAAUUGGAAUGAGUACAAUUUAAAUCCCUUAACGAGGAACAAUUGGAGGGCAAGUCUGGUGCCAGCAGCCGCGGUAAUUCCAGCUCCAAUAGCGUAUAUUAAAGUUGUUGUGGUUAAAAAGCUCGUAGUUGAACCUUGGGCCUGGCUGGCCGGUCCCCCUCACCGGGUGCACUGAUCCAGCCGGGCCUUUCCCUCUACGGAACCCCAUGGCCUUCACUGGCCGUGGCGGGGAAGUAGGACUUUUACUUUGAAAAAAUUAGAGUGCUCCAGGCAGGCCUAUGCUCGAAUACAUUAGCAUGGAAUAAUAGAAUAGGACGCGUGGUUCUAUUUUGUUGGUUUCUAGGACCGCCGUAAUGCUUAAUAGGGACAGUCGGGGGCAUCAGUAUUCAAUUGUCAGAGGUGAAAUUCUUGGAUCUAUUGAAGACUAACUACUGCGAAAGCAUUUGCCAAGGAUGUUUUCAUUGAUCAGGAACGAAAGUUAGGGGAUCGAAAACGAUCAGAUACCGUUGUAGUCUUAACUAUAAACUAUGCCGACUAGGGAUCGGACGAUGUUAUUACUUGACUCGUUCGGCACCUUUCGAGAAAUCAAA